CGGCAUGCCUUACACAUGCAAGUCGAACGGCAGCAUGGAAGAGCUUGCUCUUCUGAUGGCGAGUGGCGAACGGGUGAGUAAAGCAUCGGAACGUACCGUGUAGUGGGGGAUAACGUAGCGAAAGUUACGCUAAUACCGCAUACGCACUGAGGUGGAAAGCAGGGGAUCGCAAGACCUUGCGCUAUACGAGCGGCCGAUGUCAGAUUAGCUAGUUGGUAGGGUAAAGGCCUACCAAGGCGACGAUCUGUAGCGGGUCUGAGAGGAUGAUCCGCCACACUGGGACUGAGACACGGCCCAGACUCCUACGGGAGGCAGCAGUGGGGAAUAUUGGACAAUGGGCGGAAGCCUGAUCCAGCCAUGCCGCGUGUGUGAAGAAGGCCUUUUGGUUGUAAAGCACUUUAAGCGAGGAGGAGGCUACCUGGAUUAAUACUCUGGGAUAGUGGACGUUACUCGCAGAAUAAGCACCGGCUAACUCUGUG
rnacentral:rRNA from 1 species